rnacentral:misc_RNA from 1 species
AAGUCGUAACAAGGUUUCCGUAGGUGAACCUGCGGAAGGAUCAUUAAAACGUUCCAAAACGUAUUAACCAAAUGUGAACUUGUUUUUAACCACAAAACUUUUUUAACCAAUACCUUUUUGCUAGUUGACUUUUAUAUGUUAGUAGAGUAAUUCGUUAUUCUAUUACACGUUUCUUAAUUGAAUCGAUAAAAUUACAACUCUUAGCAAUGGAUAUCUUGGUUCUC